rnacentral:rRNA from 1 species
GAUGAACGCUAGCGGCAGGCUUAACACAUGCAAGUCGAGGGGUAACAGGGAUUGCUUGCAAUCCGCUGACGACCGGCACACGGGUGCGUAACGCGUAUGCAACCUACCUUCUACAGGGGGAUAGUCAAUAGAAAUGUUGAAUAAUACCCCAUACGAUCAUUAAUCUGCAUGGAUUGAUGAAGAAAGUUCCGGCGGUAGAAGAUGGGCAUGCGUCCUAUUAGUUAGUUGGUAAGGUAACGGCUUACCAAGACAUCGAUAGGUAGGGGUCCUGAGAGGGAGAUCCCCCAACUGGUACUGAGACACGGACCAGACUCCUACGGGAGCAGCAGUGAGGAAUAUUGGACAAUGGAGGCAACUCUGAUCCAGCCAUGCCGCGUGCCAGG